rnacentral:rRNA from 1 species
UACGGAGGGUGCAAGCGUUAUCCGGAUUUACUGGGGUUAAAGGGCGCGUAGGCGGGCUGUCAAGUCUGGGGUGAAAUGCCGCGGCUCAACCGUGGAACUGCCUUAGAUACUGACGGCCUCGAGGGAGGUAGGGGCGUGCGGAACUGUAGGUGGAGCGGUGAAAUGCGUUGAUAUCUACAGGAACUCCGGUGGCGAAAGCGGCGCGCUGGACCUCUUCUGACGCUGAGGCGCGAAAGCUAGGGGAGCAAACGGG